rnacentral:rRNA from 1 species
UACGUAGGGGGCAAGCGUUGUCCGGAAUCAUUGGGCGUAAAGCGCGUGUAGGCGGCCCGGUAAGUCCGCUGUGAAAGUCCAGGGCUCAACCCUGGAAUGCCGGUGGAUACUGUCGGGCUCGAGUCCGGAAGAGGCGAGUGGAAUUCCUGGUGUAGCGGUGAAAUGCGCAGAUAUCAGGAGGAACACCGAUGGCGAAGGCAGCUCGCUGGGACGGUACUGACGCUGAGACGCGAAAGCGUGGG